GGGGGUAUAGCUCAGCUGGGAGAGCAGCAGACUGAAGUAUGAAUUUCUUUGAAUGUAAUUAUUUCUGAAGGUCCCGCGUUCGAUCCGCGGUACCCCCA